rnacentral:piRNA from 1 species
UGGGUGCUCGACCAUUUAAUCCUUGCAAGA